AACCAGGAGCUCUUGCUGGCUUAUAUAGAAAGGGACUACUCUUCAUAUAUACACAUAUAAGUGUAUGUAUGUAUGUACAUAUGUAUAUAUAUAUAUAUAUACACACACACAUAAAUAUUUACUUAUAACAUAUUAUGUUCCAUUCAUAUGAGAGUAUCUUGUAUCACAAAAAGUGAACAACUGAGUCAGCUCGUGGUUACAUUGCUCGAA
rnacentral:lncRNA from 1 species